rnacentral:rRNA from 1 species
UUAAGCGACUAAGCGUACACGGUGGAUGCCUAGGCAGUCAGAGGCGAUGAAGGGCGUGCUAAUCUGCGAAAAGCGUCGGUAAGCUGAUAUGAAGCGUUAUAACCGACGAUACCCGAAUGGGGAAACCCAGUGCAAUACGUUGCACUAUCGUUAGAUGAAUACAUAGUCUAACGAGGCGAACCGGGGGAACUGAAACAUCUAAGUACCCCGAGGAAAAGAAAUCAACCGAGAUUCCCCCAGUAGCGGCGAGCGAACGGGGAGGAGCCCAGAGUCUGAAUCAGUUUGUGUGUUAGUGGAAGCGUCUGGAAAGUCGCACGGUACAGGGUGAUAGUCCCGUACACCAAAAUGCAUAGGCUGUGAACUCGAUGAGUAGGGCGGGACACGUGACAUCCUGUCUGAAUAUGGGGGGACCAUCCUCCAAGGCUAAAUACUCCUGACUGACCGAUAGUGAACCAGUACCGUGAGGGAAAGGCGAAAAGAACCCCGGCGAGGGGAGUGAAAUAGAACCUGAAACCGUGUACGUACAAGCAGUGGGAGCACCUUCGUGGUGUGACUGCGUACCUUUUGUAUAAUGGGUCAGCGACUUAUAUUUUGUAGCAAGGUUAACCGAAUAGGGGAGCCGUAGGGAAACCGAGUCUUAACUGGGCGUCUAGUUGCAAGGUAUAGACCCGAAACCCGGUGAUCUAGCCAUGGGCAGGUUGAAGGUUGGGUAACACUAACUGGAGGACCGAACCGACUAAUGUUGAAAAAUUAGCGGAUGACUUGUGGCUGGGGGUGAAAGGCCAAUCAAACCGGGAGAUAGCUGGUUCUCCCCGAAAGCUAUUUAGGUAGCGCCUCGUGAACUCAUCUUCGGGGGUAGAGCACUGUUUCGGCUAGGGGGCCAUCCCGGCUUACCAAACCGAUGCAAACUCCGAAUACCGAAGAAUGUUAUCACGGGAGACACACGGCGGGUGCUAACGUCCGUCGUGAAGAGGGAAACAACCCAGACCGCCAGCUAAGGUCCCAAAGUCAUGGUUAAGUGGGAAACGAUGUGGGAAGGCACAGACAGCCAGGAUGUUGGCUUAGAAGCAGCCAUCAUUUAAAGAAAGCGUAAUAGCUCACUGGUCGAGUCGGCCUGCGCGGAAGAUGUAACGGGGCUAAACCAUGCACCGAAGCUGCGGCAGCGACACUUAGGUGUUGUUGGGUAGGGGAGCGUUCUGUAAGCCGUUGAAGGUGACCUGUGAGGGUUGCUGGAGGUAUCAGAAGUGCGAAUGCUGACAUAAGUAACGAUAAUGCGGGUGAAAAACCCGCACGCCGGAAGACCAAGGGUUCCUGUCCAACGUUAAUCGGGGCAGGGUGAGUCGACCCCUAAGGCGAGGCUGAAAAGCGUAGUCGAUGGGAAACAGGUUAAUAUUCCUGUACUUGGUGUUACUGCGAAGGGGGGACGGAGAAGGCUAGGCUGGCCGGGCGACGGUUGUCCCGGUUUAAGCGUGUAGGGGGAGUGACCAGGUAAAUCCGGUUGCUUAUCAACCCUGAGGCGUGAUGACGAUGCACUACGGUGCAGAAGCAGUUGAUGCCAUGCUUCCAGGAAAAGCCUCUAAGCAUCAGGUAACAUUAAAUCGUACCCCAAACCGACACAGGUGGUCAGGUAGAGAAUACUCAGGCGCUUGAGAGAACUCGGGUGAAGGAACUAGGCAAAAUGGUGCCGUAACUUCGGGAGAAGGCACGCUGGCGUUAGGUGAAAGGACUAGCUCCUGGAGCUGAAGCCAGUCGCAGAUACCAGCUGGCUGCAACUGUUUAAUAAAAACACAGCACUGUGCAAACACGAAAGUGGACGUAUACGGUGUGACGCCUGCCCGGUGCUGGAAGGUUAAUUGAUGGGGUCAGCCGCAAGGCGAAGCUCUUGAUCGAAGCCCCAGUAAACGGCGGCCGUAACUAUAACGGUCCUAAGGUAGCGAAAUUCCUUGUCGGGUAAGUUCCGACCUGCACGAAUGGCGUAAUGAUGGCCAGGCUGUCUCCACCCGAGACUCAGUGAAAUUGAACUCGCUGUGAAGAUGCAGUGUACCCGCGGCAAGACGGAAAGACCCCGUGAACCUUUACUAUAGCUUGACACUGAACAUUGAGCCUUGAUGUGUAGGAUAGGUGGGAGGCCUUGAAGUGUGGACGCCAGUCUGCAUGGAGCCAACCUUGAAAUACCACCCUUUAAUGUUUGAUGUUCUAACUCGGCCCCAUAAUCUGGGGUGAGGACAGUGUCUGGUGGGUAGUUUGACUGGGGCGGUCUCCUCCCAAAGAGUAACGGAGGAGCACGAAGGUUAGCUAAUCACGGUCGGACAUCGUGAGGUUAGUGCAAAGGCAUAAGCUAGCUUGACUGCGAGAGUGACGGCUCGAGCAGGUACGAAAGUAGGUCUUAGUGAUCCGGUGGUUCUGAAUGGAAGGGCCAUCGCUCAACGGAUAAAAGGUACUCCGGGGAUAACAGGCUGAUACCGCCCAAGAGUUCAUAUCGACGGCGGUGUUUGGCACCUCGAUGUCGGCUCAUCACAUCCUGGGGCUGAAGUAGGUCCCAAGGGUAUGGCUGUUCGCCAUUUAAAGUGGUACGCGAGCUGGGUUUAGAACGUCGUGAGACAGUUCGGUCCCUAUCUGCCGUGGGCGUUGGAAGAUUGAGAGGGGCUGCUCCUAGUACGAGAGGACCGGAGUGGACGAAUCACUGGUGUUCGGGUUGUCAUGCCAAUGGCAUUGCCCGGUAGCUAAAUUCGGAAGAGAUAACCGCUGAAAGCAUCUAAGCGGGAAACUUGCCUCGAGAUGAGUCUUCCCUGGGGCUUAAAGUCCCCUGAAGGAACGUUAAAGACUAUGACGUUGAUAGGCUGGGUGUGUAAGUGCAGCGAUGUAUUGAGCUAACCAGUACUAAUGAUCCGUGAGGCUUAACCUU